UACGGAGGGAGCUAGCGUUGUUCGGAAUUACUGGGCGUAAAGCGCACGUAGGCGGCUUUGUAAGUUAGAGGUGAAAGCCUGGAGCUCAACUCCAGAACUGCCUUUAAGACUGCAUCGCUUGAAUCCAGGAGAGGUGAGUGGAAUUCCGAGUGUAGAGGUGAAAUUCGUAGAUAUUCCGAAGAACACCAGUGGCGGAGGCGGCUCACUGGACUGGUAUUGACGCUGAGGUGCGAAAGCGUGGGGAGCAAACAGG
rnacentral:rRNA from 1 species